rnacentral:snoRNA from 1 species
UUGCCCAAUGAUUAUAGCAAGACGCGUUAUUAUGAGGACUAAUGCUGGAACUCUUGCUCCUUCUCCUCCUCCUCCUUCUUCGUCCCUUCCUCUUUCACCUUACCCCUCACUUCCCUUAGGGUAUCCAGCGUCCUAUGAGCAAGACUGAGAUAUGAGGGCAA